rnacentral:rRNA from 1 species
AUCGCAAGAUGAGUGGCAGACGGGUGAGUAACGCGUGGGAAUCUACCGUGCCCUGCGGAAUAGCUCCGGGAAACUGGAAUUAAUACCGCAUACGCCCCCCUUUAAAAUAUCAGGCUAUUACAAUGCCCUGGCAUUUUAUGGGGGGGAAAGAUUUAUCGGGGUAUGAUGAGCCCGCGUUGGAUUAGCUAGUUGGUGGGGUAAAGGCCUACCAAGGCGACGAUCCAUAGCUGGUCUGAAAGGAUGUUCAGCCACAUUGGGACUGAGACACGGCCCAAACUCCUACGGGAGGCAGCAGUGGGGAAUAUUGCGCAAUGGGGGAAACCCUGACGCAGCGACGCCGCGUGAGCGAUGAAGUAUUUCGGUAUGUAAAGCUCUAUCAGCAGGGAAGAAAAAAAUGACGGUACCUGACUAAGAAGCCCCGGCUAACUACGUGCCAGCCGCCGCUGUAA